CACAGAGAACCACGUGGAGGAAAAGCACGCGAGCUUGGAGGGGGUGGAGCGCCAAAAGAGGUGGACUGGAAUGUGACACGACGGGGCAGCUGGAAGGUUUAUUAACAUAUUACAGCAUAGCAGAAAGAUUCAAACGGCUCCACGUGGUGCUUUGAGAUUCAUCCCAACUGUAGGCUGAAUGACCUGCUGACAGACAGACAGACGGCCAAAGUCCAAAAGUUUCAGCAUUUCCUUAAUGUCAGGAUAUACUUCAAUGACAUUGAAAUGACCGGGGCUGAGACCUGGGACAUAGUUAUCUCUCCUUUCUCUCUCCUCCUCCUGCUGCUUGAUGGAGAUACCUCUCACCGGGCCUCUUUGAAUCCGUUUCAUCAGGGCCUGGCAUGGAGUGUGCACUUAAUAAAUGCUGGAAGAAAUAUUGCCUGGGUCAGGGAUGCAGUUGAUGGCCUGUGUGCUCUGAGAGCUGUGACACCAACCAGCAGUUGUGAGCCAGCCUAGACACUGAACCCUCAAUGGCUUCCUCUCCCUUUCCCCAAGUUUUGCAGGAUAUAGAAGAAAUAAAAAUAAAAUUUCUUUUUUGGU